rnacentral:rRNA from 1 species
GACGAACGCUGGCGGCGUGCUUAACACAUGCAAGUCGAGCGGAAAGGCCCUUCGGGGUACUCGAGCGGCGAACGGGUGAGUAACACGUGAGUAAUCUGCCCUUCACUCUGGGAUAGCCACCGGAAACGGUGAUUAAUACCGGAUAUGACCACCGUGGGCAUCCACUGGUGGUGGAAACUUUUUUGGGUGGGGGAUGUGCUCGCGGCCUAUCAGCUUGUUGGUGGGGUAAUGGCCUACCAAGGCUUCGGCGGGUAGCCGGCCUGAGAGGGGGACCGGCCAAAGGGAGACUGAGACACGGCCCACACUGCUACGUGGGGGAGCAGUGGGGAAUAUUGGACAAUGGGCGGAAGCCUGAUCCAGGAACGCCGCGUGAGGGAUGACGGCCUUCGGGUUGUAAACCUCUUUCAGCCCCGACGAAGCGCAAGUGACGGUAGGUGCAGAAGAAGGACCGGCCAACUACGUGCCAGCCGCCGCCGUAAGAC